rnacentral:snRNA from 1 species
GGAUGUGAGACAAUCUGGCUGCGACAUCUGUCACCCCAUUGAUCACCAGGGUCGAUUCGGCUCAUCUGGCUGGCUAGGAGGGUGUCCCCUUCCUCCCUCACCGCUCCAUGUGUGUCCCUCCCGAAGCUGCACAGUUGGUCGAAGAGGACGACCACCCCAAGAGAGGAGGACGAUAACUGGAAAUGGGAG